AUUGAACGCUGGCGGCAUGCCUUACACAUGCAAGUCGAACGGCAGCACGGGAGCAAUCCUGGUGGCGAGUGGCGAACGGGUGAGUAAAGCAUCGGAACGUGCCCAGUCGUGGGGGAUAACGUAGCGAAAGCUACGCUAAUACCGCAUACGAUCUGUGGAUGAAAGCGGGGACCGUAAGGCCUCGCGCGAUUGGAGCGGCCGAUGUCAGAUUAGGUAGUUGGUGAGGUAAAGGCUCACCAAGCCGACGAUCUGUAGCUGGUCUGAGAGGACGACCAGCCACACUGGGACUGAGACACAGCCCAGACUCCUACGGGAGGCAGCAGUGGGGAAUUUUGGACAAUGGGCGCAAGCCUGAUCCAGCAAUGCCGCGUGCAGGAUGAAGGCCUUCGGGUUGUAAACUGCUUUUGUACGGAGCGAAACGGCUUCCACUAAUACUGGGGGCUAAUGACGGUACCGUAAGAAUAAGCACCGGCUAACUACGUGCCAGCCGCCGCAGUAA
rnacentral:rRNA from 1 species